rnacentral:rRNA from 1 species
UACAGAGGUGGCAAGCGUUGUUCGGAAUUACUGGGCGUAAAGGGCGCGUAGGCGGUCAGGUCAGUCCCGUGUGAAAUCCCUCGGCUCAACUGAGGAACUGCACGGGAAACUGCCUGGCUUGAGUUCGGGAGAGGGAAGCGGAAUUCCGGGUGUAGCGGUGAAAUGCGCAGAUAUCAGGAGGAACACCGAUGGCGAAGGCAGCGCGCUGGGACGGUACUGACGCUGAGGCGCGAAAGCGUGGGGAGCAAACAGG